rnacentral:rRNA from 1 species
CUCAGGAUGAACGCCGGCGGUGUGCUAAUACAUGCAAGUCGAACGCGUUGGCCCAAUUGAUUGAUGGUGCUUGCACUGAUUGAUUUUGGUCGCCAACGAGUGGCGGACGGGUGAGUAACACGUAGGUAACCUGCCCAGAAGCGGGGGACAACAUUUGGAAACAGAUGCUAAUACCGCAUAACAACGUUGUUCGCAUGAACAACGCUUAAAAGAUGGCUUCUCGCUAUCACUUCUGGAUGGACCUGCGGUGCAUUAGCUUGUUGGUGGGGUAACGGCCUACCAAGGCGAUGAUGCAUAGCCGAGUUGAGAGACUGAUCGGCCACAAUGGGACUGAGACACGGCCCAUACUCCUACGGGAGGCAGCAGUAGGGAAUCUUCCACAAUGGGCGCAAGCCUGAUGGAGCAACACCGCGUGAGUGAAGAAGGGUUUCGGCUCGUAAAGCUCUGUUGUUAAAGAAGAACACGUAUGAGAGUAACUGUUCAUACGUUGACGGUAUUUAACCAGAAAGUCACGGCUAACUACGUGCCAGCAGCCGCGGUAAUACGUAGGUGGCAAGCGUUAUCCGGAUUUAUUGGGCGUAAAGAGAGUGCAGGCGGUUUUCUAAGUCUGAUGUGAAAGCCUUCGGCUUAACCGGAGAAGUGCAUCGGAACCUGGAUAACUAGAGUACCGAAGUGGGUAGUGGUCCUCCAUCUGUAGCGGUGGAAAACGUAGCUAUAUUGAAGUACACCAGUGGGGAAGCCGGAUCCCGGGUCUGCAUCUGCCCCUGAGCCUCGAAAGCAUGGGUAGAGACCAGGAUUAG